rnacentral:ncRNA from 1 species
UGAAAGGGGUGCCCUUAGGGCUGAGAUUAGACCCGUUGAACCUGAUGCAGUUAGUACUGCCGUAGGGAUGUAGGA